UACAGAGGUCCCGAGCGUUGUUCGGAUUCAUUGGGCGUAAAGGGUGCGUAGGCGGCGGGGUAAGUUUGCUGUGAAAUCCCGGGGCUCAACCCUGGAAUUGCAUUGAAUACUACCUUGCUAGAGUACCGGAGAGGAAACUGGAAUUUACGGUGUAGCAGUGAAAUGCGUAGAGAUCGUAAGGAAGACCAGUGGCGAAGGCGAGUUUCUGGACGGUAACUGACGCUGAGGCACGAAGGCCAGGGGAGCAAACGGG
rnacentral:rRNA from 1 species